GACGAACGCUGGCGGCGUGCUUAACACAUGCAAGUCGAGCGGUAAGGCCACUUCGGGGGUACACGAGCGGCGAACGGGUGAGUAACACGUGAGCAAUCUGCCCUCCACAUCGGGAUAACCCCCGGAAACGGGAGCUAAUACCGGAUACGACCACUUCAGGCAUCUGAUGGUGGUGGAAAGUUCCGGCGGUGGAGGAUGAGCUCGCGGCCUGUCAGCUUGUUGGUGGGGUAACGGCCCACCAAAGCUUCGACGGAUAGCCGGCCUGAGAGGGUGACCGGCCACACUGGGACUGAGACACGGCCCAGACUCCUACGGGAGGCAGCAGUGGGGAAUAUUGGACAAUGGGCGAAAGCCUGAUCCAGCAACGCCGCGUGAGGGAUGACGGCCUUCGGGUUGUAAACCUCUUUCAGCAGGGACGAAGCGCAAGUGACGGUACCUGCAGAAGAAGCACCGGCCAACUACGUGCCAGCAGCCGCCGUAAGAC
rnacentral:rRNA from 1 species